rnacentral:misc_RNA from 1 species
GAUGAAGAACGUAGCGAAAUGCGAUACGUAAUGUGAAUUGCAAAUUCAGUGAAUCAUCGAGUCUUUGAACGCACAUUGCGCCCCCUGGUAUUCCGGGGGGCAUGCCUGUCCGAGCGUCAUUGCUGCCCUCAAGCACGGCUUGUGUGUUGGGCCGCCGUCCCCGGUUUCCCCCGGGGACGGGCCCGAAAGGCAGCGGCGGCACCGCGUCCGAUCCUCGAGCGUAUGGGGCUUUGUCACCCGCUCUGUAGGCCCGGCCGGCGCCAGCCGACACCCAACUUUAUUUCUAAGGUUGACCUCGGAUCAGGUAGGGAUACCCGCUGAACUUAAGCAUAUCAAUAAGCGGAGGA